rnacentral:rRNA from 1 species
AGUGAACGCUGGCGGUAGGCCUAACACAUGCAAGUCGAACGGCAGCACAGUAAGAGCUUGCUCUUACGGGUGGCGAGUGGCGGACGGGUGAGGAAUACAUCGGAAUCUACUUUUUCGUGGAGGAUAACGUAGGGAAACUUACGCUAAUACCGCAUACGACCUACGGGUGAAAGCAGGGGAUCUUCGGACCUUGCGCGAUUGAAUGAGCCGAUGUCGGAUUAGCUAGUUGGCGGGGUAAAGGCCCACCAAGGCGACGAUCCGUAGCUGGUCUGAGAGGAUGAUCAGCCACACUGGAACUGAGACACGGUCCAGACUCCUACGGGAGGCAGCAGUGGGGAAUAUUGGACAAUGGGCGCAAGCCUGAUCCAGCCAUACCGCGUGGGUGAAGAAGGCCUUCGGGUUGUAAAGCCCUUUUGUUGGGAAAGAAAAGCAGCAGGUUAAUACCCCGCUGUUCUGACGGUACCCAAAGAAUAAGCACCGGCUAACUUCGUG